CUCUAACCUCUGCUUAUACUGUCACAUCUCCAGUCUGUCACCCAGAGAGCCCAGGAUAAUCUUUCGCUUUCACACCUUCUUUGGUUAAUAUACAAAGUAGCAUAUCCAUGUUUCUGCAAGUAGGAGAUUGACAUUUUGUGGAGUGAUGGAAAGAAAGGGUGCAUUUCUGGCCUAGCCUACCCAGAUAAAGUCAGAGAGAAUCACAGAUUCUAUAGUAAAAUACAGUAGUAUAAGAAUAGAAAGCAAAAGGUGAAUAAAAAAGGAAAAAUGUCACAGCUACUAUGAAACAUAUUGAAUUAAACAAAGUAGAAUGAAAUAAAAACUUCACUUUGAAAUUAAACAUUAACCAAGGGACAAAACAAUUACACAAGACUAUUUAAUGCUAUAAAACCUCGACAACAUCCGGGCAUGGUGGUUCAUGCCUGUAACCCCAAGACUCAGGAGGCCGAGGCAGGAGGAUGGUUGAGAGUUUGAGGCCAGCCUGGACAACGGUCAGUACAUUGACAGCCUGAACUACAAAAUGUGACCCUGUCUCAAAAAACCAAGAAGACAAAAGAUGAAUAAAACUUUGGCAGUUACAGUCAGUAAACAAGAAUUCCAAGACAGGGAUGAUAAGGCAAUGUAAAGAAAUAAAUAUGAAAAAUUCAGAGCUCUGAAAACUAAAGUGCUAAAAUAUUGACAGUAGGUUUGUCAUAAAUGGCUUCUAUCAGUUCGAGGUAAAGAUCUUUGUAUACAUAUUUUCAUCAAGGUUUUUUUUUUUUAUCACAAAGCGAUGUUUGGAUUUUGUCAGAGGCCUUUUCUGCUCCUAUUGAAGUGAUUAUGUGACUUUUGCCCUUCUGUUUACGUGGUAUUUUACAUUUGUUGAUUUACAUAUGUUGAGUGAUCUUUUUAAUGAUUUGUUGUAUUUUGUUUGCAAGUGUCUUUGUGAGGCUGAGGAUUUAGCUCAGUGGCACUGUGCCUGCCUCCCAAGUGCAAGGUCCUGAGUUCGAUCCCCGGUACCAAAAAAAAAAAAAAAAAAGUAGCUACAAGUAUCUUUGUGAUGAUUUUCACAACUACAUUCAUUAAGGAUAUUAGCCUGUAAUUUUGUCUGUUUUGAUGUCAUAGAAAUGUUAGAUUUAAGAAAUGAUAUUGGCAAUGUUCUCUUCCUUUCAAUCUCAUGGAAGAGUUUGAAUAUUGGCAGUAGAUCUUCCUGGAAGUCGAGAUAAAAUGCUGGGUUUUUGUUAAUUGGGAUGGAUUUUAUUACUGCCUCGAUUUUAUCACCUUUUAAUUGUUUGUUCAGGAUUUUUCUAUCUUCUUGGUUAAUUUUUUGUAAUUCUUAUGUGUGCAUUAAUUUAUCCAAUUCUUCUAGAUUCUCCAAUAUAUUGGAAUAUUUGAUUUCAAAAAGUUUCUUGUAAUCCUCUAGAUUUCUGCAGUGACUAUGGUAAUUUUAUCUUUUUCAUUUUUAAUUCCAUUGAUGUAAAUAUUUUCUUUCCACUUUUGGUAAGUUAGGCUAAGUAUUUACCAAUUGUGUUUAUCAUUUCAAAGAAUCAGCUGUGAUUCAUUGGUCCUUUUUAUUGUUUUUCCUUUUGUAUGUCUCAAUUUCAUUAAUUCCUGCUCUGAUCUUUAUAUUUCCUUCUCCAAUCUGGGUGUGAUCAUUCUGACCUCAGCUAUGGAUGUUAUCUCAUAUUAGCCCCACAGAACCAUAGGCCAUUGCUCUGGCCUCAGCUGUGGCCCUUAAUGGGGAGGUCGUAUUAAUCUGCACGCUACCGCCAUGCUCAUGAGACACUUCUGUGAGUCACGUAGCUUCAGUCAGACUUGCUCCUUUUUCAUUUGUUUGUUUGUUUUUGGUACUGGGGAUGGAACUCAGCACCUUGUGCUUGAGAGGCAGGCAGCAGAAGCACUGAGCUAAAUCCCUAGCCCCCAGACUUGCUUCUUAAAGUAAGCCAAUUGAGAAAUUUAACUCUUUGCAGCCUGCACUGCUUACAGCAUGUUUUGGGCAUAAUCAAUAUUGAGGGCUCUGGCAUCUCCCCAUUCUGUCUUCAGAGGUUGCAUUAGCUGCAUCAAAGUGAACUGAAGUUGGAGUGCUUCCAGAUGUUGGUUGAUUCUUAUUCCUUUAUAGAAGGAGAAAGGAUGAUUGCCGUUAAUGUGAUCAAUAUAUUCUCUGGGUUAAUUGGUAGACCCUGGUGCCCCACUAGAUGACAGGCCUCACUCACAGUACUCUCCAGACUGAUCCAUCUUAUCACUUGAGCAGGAUGAUUGCUCUGGUCUGGGACCCAUGGAACUUGCUGGCUCCUCAGUCUUGGUAGUGGACGUGGGCAGAGCCUCUGAGCAGAUCUCUGCUGAUAUGUGUCUGUGGGCCUUGGGCCACAAGGGGAGUUGCUUAUACUCAGCCUCUGCAUGGCUCUCAGCAGGGAUGCCAUGUGGUGCUGUUGUCUGGGGACCCAUCUCGAUCCAUGGAUGCAUGCUCCAGGUUGGCAGCCACAGCAUUUCUCCAUCAUCUGUCAAGACACAACAAAAAUCUCAGCCCAAUUUUACUAAGGUGGAAGGACCAUUCCAAGCACUGGUCCAUAUAUCUCUCCAGAGUACCUGUGGCCUAACCUCAGUGGUAGACACAUUCUGAUGCCAAUAAAGCAUGGCUGGUGGCAAAGUAGAGCAAGCAACAGGAUUCAAAAAAUUUAAAACAAAAGUUGCCAGAUCUAACCUUGCUGGGGUGGGGGUACUUGAAUUCCCCCUUUUGUUUAAGUAACUGAUUUUUUAAACUUUGAUGUGUUCUCUCUACUAUUGCAUGUCCUUGCAGGUUAUAAGGUAUACCUGUAAUAUGUUUUAUAUGCCAGGUAUGAAAAAAUUGUUCAGUAACUUUACUAACAUAUGAAGGUCCAUUAUCUGUUUUUAUGCUUUUUGGGACCCCCAUGGCUGCAAAAGCAGACAAACAGUGCUGUUGGGCAUAAUGACCCUUUUCUAGCAUGGCAAAUAGCAAGAAUCAUUUGAGAGUAGCUAUCAAUAGAAACAUGAACAAAUUUUGUUCUUCCAAAUCAGGGGACAUGAGUUAUGUCCAUUUGCCAAAUCAUAUUGCUACUUGAGCCAUGAGGGUUAAUCCCUUCUAGAGGCAUGGUUCAUGGAAUUUUUUUGACAUGAAGGGCAGGCUGUGACUAUAUGUCCAGCCUGAGCAUGAGUAAGUCUGAAACUGUCUUUUCAGAGCUUUAGAAUUUUGAUGAAAGUAAUCACGUGAUGUUUUAGCUUGUUCAAAAGCUGAAAUGCAUCCAAUUAACAUAUCAGCCUGAUAAUGACCAUAUAAUAAAGGUCCAGGUAAACUGGAAUGUGAUCAAAUAUGUUUAAUAAAAAAGGGUGCUGUCUGUUUAUGGAUAGCUUUUUGUAAGCUUAGAAAUAAAUUUAGUAAUUUUGGUUCCAACGAGGAACAAGCUAUGGCAUUUUCUAAGCACUGAAUUAAGUAAACUGCAUAGGAAGAGUCACUUACAAUAUUUAAGGUCUGUGAUGGAAAAUUCUCUAUUACAUAAAGAAUGACUGUUAAUUCAGAUCUCUGAGCUGAAAGGCCAGAAGUUAAAAUGACUUGUUGAAAGUUUUUACUCCAUACUACCGCUUUCCCUUUAGAGCAGCCAUUUGUGAAAAAUGUCACUGCUUCCUUAAGGGGUUGAAAUUCGGGUUACAGGGAGAAUAAAUUCAUGUUGCAUAAAAAAUUGUAGCAAGGGGUCAUUUGGGUAAUGAUUAUCAAUUUGGCCAAUGAAAUCUGCAAAUGCAACCUGCCAGUAGACAGCAGUUUGUAGUAAAGAUUGCAUUUGUGUCUAAUCUAAUGACAAAAUUAUAAAUUGAGACUCAAAUCCAAAUAUUUGACAUGCCCUAUUUUGUCCUGUGGAAACUACCUUUGCAAUUUGUUCCACAUACAAUUGUGCCCUCACCAAUUGAUUAGGUAAAAAUAACCACUCCAUAAGAAAAACUUGUUUAUCACAGCACUGUCCAAGUAGUCCCGUGGGAGAAUGAGGAGUUUGGAGUACAAACAAGUACACAGGGUAAUCAGAGUUAAUUCUAAAAACCUGUUGAUCAUGAAUGCUUUUUCUCAAUUAACUAUAGCUCUUGUGCCUCUGCAGUUAAGUUGUGGGGUGAAUAUAAAUCUGAAUCUCCUUGUAAUACGUUAUAUAAAUGUUGUAACUGAAAGGUUGAAAUACCCAAUUUAGGGGUUUUAGCCAAUUAAUAUCUCCCAAGAAUUUUUGAAAAUCACUUAAAGUUUUAAAUUUAUCAAUUCAAAUUUGCACUUUUUGAGGCUUUAUAAUUCUUUUAGCUACCAGAGUGCCCAGAUAUUGAUAAGGAGCAGACAACUGCACCUUUUCAGGGGCUACAGAAAGGCCACAUUUAAGUAAAUCCCAUUUGGCAUGGGCAAAAGUCUGUAAGAGAGUCUCUUGUUUAUCAGAUGCUAUCAAUAUAUCAUCCAUGAAAUGCAACCAAUAUAUUUGAGGGAAUUUCCUUCUAGUGGCCUGCAAAGCCUGAGGCACAAACAGCUGACAAAAUGUAGGACUAUUUGCCAUUUCUUGGGGUAAAAGUGUCCACUGAAACCUUUUCAUAAGGUUCUUGAAAAUUGAUACUUGUAACACAAAAAGCAAAACAAGUCCUAUCUCCUGGAAACAAAGGAAUAUUUAAAAUAAAAACAGUCUUUUAAAUCAGUAACAAUUAUUGGCUAUUCUUGUGGAAUAGCACUUGGGUUUAGGAGCCCUGGCUGUAAAAUUCCCAUUGGAAGGAGGCUAGCAUUCACUGCAUGCAAAUCUUGUAUUAACCUCCAUUUUCCUGAUUUUGGGGGGAUGAUAAAAACUGGUGUGUUGCAGGGACUGACAAGGCUCAAGAUGUCCUUCAUUUACUUGUUCAGUUAACAAUUGAUUUAAAAAUCUAUUGUUUCUCCUUAGUUAGGGGCCACUGAUCAACCCAGAUAGGAGUAUCAGAUUUCCACUGUAAAGGCAGUACUGUUCUGCAAGGAGAAACUGCAAUAGCCCUCAUAAAUUUAACUUACACCCAAUUCCAUAAUAAUUGUUUUUUACUUGAGGCUCUAGGGGCUGCAUUUGUCCCUGAAGCUGCCUUCUAAUCCUUUUCCUUCCCGAUAACCCAUUCUAUCCAUCAUAUUCCUGGCUGGAGACAUGGCAGGAGGCAAGGUUGUUAUUACCACUUUCCAUUCCUUCAGUAAUUCUCUACCCCGUAAGUUUACAGGAAUGGGUGCACUGUAGGGGCACACAUAUCCUGCCUGUCCAUCUGGGCCCUCAAAAGUCAAUGGCAUAGUACUCUGUAGUACUUGCUGUGGUGAGCCUAGUCCCACCAGGAAGGCAGAAGGUGAUCUAACUUCCCAGUCUUUAGGCCAAAAUUGUGAUCAGAUGAUAGUCACAUCUGCUCCAGUAUCUAUUAGUGCUGUAAAAUACCUUCCAUUAAUUUUAAUCUUACACAUAGGCUUAUUCCUCAAAACUUCUUGAGCAAAAUAAAACUCACCCUGAGGAAGUGCUUGUUCUGAAUUUUCCUUAUGACAAUGAUUAACCACCUCAACCUUAGGCAAAAGGAACAACUGAGCAAUAUAAUCUCCUUGUUCAACACCCAAACACCCAUAGAACAAACAGACACAAACAAUCCAGAAGUGCAGUCAGCAUCAAUUAAAGUAGGAAUAACAGUUAAACCUUACAAAGUUAAAUUUACGGGGCUGGGGAUUUAGCUCAGUGGUUCUGCUGCCUGUCUCACAAGCACAAGAACCCAUUUGAUCCCUGGUACCAAAAAAAGUUAAACAAAGAAACAAAAUUAAAUUUACUUUGCCAAUUAUCAAACCAGUAAUUCCCUGUAAGCAUGGCUCAUAGAUCCCAGUUGGAAUAGACAAAGGAUUAUCACCCCCUAACAGGCUAACUCUGUGCAGCUGGAAGAGCUAACCCUGAGCUCCCUGCUAUUCCGUGGAUAAGGGAGGAUAUAUUCCUCCUACCACCCAGGCCAUCAAGCCUUUCAUUUGGGCUUGAGUUUGAAUUGUGUACCUCCAUUUUAGUGAUAACAAAUUGGCUGUUGCUUGGGUUUGGAUCAGAUGCCUCUGAUCCAAUGGCAGUGAAUUGGCUGUCACUGGACCCCUUCUCAAUUUUUUCAGGGCCCAAGAGAAAAGCCCCCCCCCAUUUUUCUGAAGAGGAGUUCCAUCUAUGUGAUACCUGGAAUAGCAAUCUUUUGUCUGGUGAAUUCCCUUUUGACAGCAUGAGCAUAGCUCUGGUGGCUGACCUUCUCUUAUAAUAGCUUCCAAAUUAACGUUUUUUGAUGCAACAUUUUUGAAAUGUUUCUUAGUUUGUAUUGAUUUACCACAGUUGAAUCAGCCUGAUUUCCCCUUAUAUUUUGGCUAAUUGCUUGUGUCAUCAAAGCUGUAUUAUAUGAGGGAGAUCUAAUAUCUCUGCAGGCUCUAAUGUUGGCUCCAAGAUCAUUGGUAAACUUUAUGGUAUUAAUUGCUUGCCUGCAAUCUUUGUAACCAUUAUAAGCCAGUUGUAACACAAAGAUAUUGGCUGCCUGAGGAUUAGAUAUCUGCCUCUUAAUUGUAACUUUUAAUUAGGGUACAAACUCCAUGUAGGGAUCUUUCAGACCUUGGAAGAUCUGAGUAAAAGAUUUAACUGGGGCACCAUCCUCUGGCACCGAUGUCCAAGCAUGACACAUCAAAUCAGCCAUCUGAGUGAAAAACAACUUAGGACAGUGGACCUACUUAUUUAUAUCAGCAAAUUCAUCAGUACCUGAAAGCAUGUCUAAAGUGGUAUCAGCUUCCUCUCUUCUUCCAUUCCUGAUCUUACGUUCUUUAUUUAUCAAAGACUGCAACUGAACUUGAAAGUACAGAUACUUGGAAGGGGACAGGCAUGUUUUUGACAAAUGAUGGACAUCAAAGGUCAGCAUAUAAGCUUGCAAAAUAUUUUCUAGUAAGCCAGUGGUGAAAGGGCUUUGUAUGCUGGUAUUGAUGACACUAUCUUUCAAAUUUUUCAAGAUUUUAAAUUCAAAUGGUUUCUAAGCUUGUAUUUUCUGAUUGGGAUGAUCAGGAUCUUCCUUUACUCCAACAGGGAAACACAUUGCAGAGCCAAAAUCCUCUCCAUGCCUAACAGCUUGCUGUUUGACCUUUUGAUACCAGGUGAAUCCAUGUGCUAAAUCUGGUUUCAGUGUACACUUUGAGCAAAACUUUUAACCUUUGUUUUCUUUAUCUGUAAAUGGAAAUAUAUUAUAUGGUCACUAAGAUCCCUUUCUGGUCUUGUAUUUCAUGGUCCUACAAGGAGGUAAACAUUUUGAAGCUUAAAAAUUUGAGCAUUUUGAAAAAUGAUAAUACUGUGUAUUUUAAGUUUCUAAAACUUAAAAUGACUUUUAUGUACUUAUUAAAAGUCAUUAAGAAUACCCUGUUGUGGGCCAGGGAUUUAGCUCAGUGGUUUUGCCGCCUGCUGCACAAGUGCAAGGACCCGAGUUCGAUCCUCGGUACAAAAAAAAAGAACACCCUGUUGAAUUUUAAAAUGAUAGUCAUGGUACUAAAUGUACUAAAUGCAAAAAAACCACAACUGUAUUUCUUUCAAAUGAAAACAAGAAUAAGGAUUUUAUUUUCCUGAAUGGGCCUGCACCUCAAUUACAGAAAGUAACUGAUUGGUAAUCAUAGUGAUUACUGUGGGCCCUAUUAUCUAUUAAGUACCUUGCUUAUAUGAUUGUAUUUAACCACCAUUAUUUAGGAUAAAGGCUAUUAUUACCCGUUGACUUUAUAGAUAACAGGUGAGGAAGGCCAUAUGGCUAGCAAAUGUUAUAGCAAAAGAUGAUAGAGUAAGUAAACUGGAUAUAUCUGAGUAAAAAUUCUGAGUUUCACACAAAAAGGAAAACUGAAGAGUAAAAAACCACCACCCGUGUAAAGAAAGGAAAAAAAAUAGAGAAAUAUUCAUGCUGUUUGUUCCAUGAAGUGAGAUUCAGGAGCAUAGGUGUACAUUAAGGUAUCAAAAUUUGUAUACCAUAGGAUUUCAGCUGCUAUAAGGUCACUGAGGCUAAUCUGGAAGAAAAUAAUGUAAAGUGAAUUAGAAUUACACAAAUGAUUAUUGUCAUUAAUGACUGGUGACAUAAGAAUCAUAAAUACAUGUGUCUCAAAAAAACCCAGAAAGGGCCAGGCAUUUAGCUCAGUGGUUCCGCCACCUGCCUUGCAAGUGCAAGGAACCGAAUUUGAUCCCCAUUACCAAAAACAAAAAACAAAAACCCAGAAAAUACAGUGAGCCAAAUGCACUACAUUCUGACUUAUCAAGACAACGAGAAAUAAGAAAAGAAAAACAAAGAGGUCAGAAAUAAAUUUAAGAGGAAAGAUGAUAAAACUAAAAUUAACAUUUGUUGAGAAGAAACCACAAUCAGUCAAUUAUGACAUUAUUUAUCCUGAAAACAAACUAAUUACCACUUUCAUUUCAUACACUGUAAAUCACAAACUUUCUAUGCUUUAUUUUCAUCAACCUCCUACACUGAUUGUUUCUUCCUUAUUGACAUGAUGUUUGGUUACCUGCUGUCAGUGAGACACUUAUUUUUCCCCUGCAUUCUCAGAAGCCCAGGAAAAGGAAAAUAUUUAACAUGUAAAGCCUUAAUUCAAAUUAUUUGAUAGGGACAGAAAUUAUUUCAUAAUAAUGUUAAACACUGGUUUUUUUAUUCAGUGUUUCUCUUAUCUACCAGCACCAAGAGUGAUUUAGAGUUGUUCUUUAUUUUUCUAAUUCAAAGUAGGCCCUUUGACUAACAAUGUCAAUCAAACAACUGUAAUUUUAAGUCUAGCUGUUACCUAGAGAAAGUCACCUAUAACUACCUAGGGGGAUGUGUGUGUUUCUUUUAAGAUUUGUAAAGGACAAGGUAACAAUAUGGAGCAAGGCAAGAAACAAAAUCACAGACUAAUUGAACUGUUAAAAAAAAACUUAGAAAUUUUUCAUACCCUGCAAAAUAAAAAGAAUGAUGAAAAGCAGAAAAGGGAAAUGUGUCAGACAUACCAGAGAUCAACAGCAACUAAUAAACCUACUAAACCACUAUUCAAAGCUAGCAAUAAAUAACAAGUAAGUUCUUCCGUUGAGAAAUUUUAUUUAACAUUGGCAUGAAUGUAUGUUUUUUUGUUUUUUCUUUUUUUUGGUACCGGGGAUUGAACUCAGGACCUUGCACUUUCGAGGCAGGCAGCAGAACCACUGAGCUAAAUCCCAGGCCCCUAGAAUGCAUGUUGUAUUGGAUAAUAAGAACACUUGACUUUUUAGAGAGGGAGUACUAUAAUCACUGCAAAAGUUCAAUCUCAAUAUUAGACAGGGCCCUGACUGGAUGGUACUAUUUAAGGUAAAUUUCAUACUACAGUAUUGUAUGCUUGCCCAUGUAUGCUUAUUUCUCAAUAGAAAGAGUAAGAAAUCAAACAUCAUAUUUGAUUCCCUAAACUAGGUAGUUAAGUAGGAAUUUAGGCCUUUAAAAAGGCAUUCUUUAAGAUAUUAGCCUUAAAACAAAGAAAAAUAUAAAAGAUAAAGUCUCUGUAUGUGAUUUUAAGAAAAUGAGAAGACAGAAUUUUUAACAUUCUCUUUUUACAUAGCCAUAAAGCCUUAAAAUACCAAAUCUUUUCUUUUCUUUUUUUUUUUUUGUACCAGGGAUUGAGCUCAGGACCUUGCAGUUGGGAGGCAGGUGCUGGAACCACUGAGCUAAAUCCCUAGCCCACCAAAUCUUUUCUUAAUUUUAGUCCAUAAUUAUAAAUAAAUAAAACUAUAUAGUGUUUUGUUUUUCUUUGUUUUUCUUUGCUUUUCUUGGCUUUGUUUUGCAGUACUAGGAUUGAAGCCACAGCCUCUGCACUGAACUAUAUCCCCAGCCUAGAGUGCUGAGAUGACAGACAUAUACCACCACUCCUGGCUUUAUAGAGAUUUUUAGAGUUCUGUAUUUUAUGGCUGGGUACCGAUCACUCACAAGUUAACAUAUGGGCCACUGAGUUAUGACCAGCCUCACAUAUGAACAACGUGGGAUAUGACUGGAAUUUGUUUUAACUUAUGACCAAAGUCUUGAGUUACAACCCAAAUGCUGGCUGCUUGUGUGGUUAUAAACAAUGACUCACAAUGCCAGAAAAGCAUAUGUAAGUGUACAUAAGCAUCAGUCUGAGCCCAGAUGCAUGUGUUUGUGGACAUGAUUUUGGUCAGUGCUUUAUAUAAUUGCUAUGAUUAUUGCUAUUGAAAUGGCCCCAAAAGAGCUAGAAAAGAAGUUAAGGAAGAAAGGAAAGGUAAAGAAAGCAAUCACAAUGGAAAAGAAGGAAAUUGUGGAGAAAUAUGAGAGUAUCUCACUAAUAUGUACGGCAUUUUGAAAUUCACCGUGGACAAUUUUACAAAGAAAAGAUUUAUAUAAGGAAGCUAGUGUUGCUAAAGGUGUUACUCAAAUUAGUAAGCCACAAUCAACAGUGUUAGAUGAGGUAAGAGGCUAUUAGUGUGCAUAAAAAAAAGGCAGAUGGCAGGUUAUACCCUAUCUGAGUCUACAAAUCGUGAAAAAGCUAAGACUACGAAUGCAGAUCUUGUAAAGAAAAAUGCAUCAGUAAGUGAUGAUGAUGAAACAUUUUGUGGCAGUAAGGGGAGGUUUCACAAUUAUAAAGCAGCAACUGGGGUUCAUAGCCAUGGUCAAGUAGCUAGUGCUGAUAAAAGGGCUGCUGAAAAUUACAUACACCACAUUGAAAUAAUGAAAAAGAGAAAUAGCUUUUAAUCUCAUAAGGUUUUAAAACUGUCAUGAAACUGGCUUUUUUUUCAAAGAAAAUGCCCAGGAGAACAUACAUUACCCAGGAAGAGAAGAAAAUGCUGGGCCACAAGCCUAUGAAGGAGAGGCUAACCUUAUUGCUAUGUGCCAAUGGGAAUGGUGACAUCAAUAUAAAGCCUCUCUUGGUUUAUCACUCUGAGAUCCCUAGAGGGUUCAGAAAACAUAAAGUCAUGAAGAAUAGGCUAGGAGUCAUGUGGAACUUUAAUGCAAAAGCCUGGGUAACAAAAGUACUUGAGUGGAUAAGGGAGGCUUUCGGUCCUACUGUUAAGAAAUAUCUAUAGGACAAAGGUUUAGCACUCAAGGCACUCAGCAUCAUGGGCAGUGGUCUACUCACCAAUAAGUUUUGGAAGAAGAAUUGACUGAAGAAUUCCCAUGGCUCUCAAUUGAGCUCCUCCCACCUAAUACAACUCCUCUACUGCAGUGUAUGAACCAGCAGGUUAUAGCUAACUUUAAGAAGGUAUACACCAUGGCCUGGGGAUUUAGCUCAGUGGUUCUGCUGCCUGCCUUGCAAGUGCAAGGACCCGAGUUUGAUCCCUGGUACCAAAAAAAUAAAUAAAAAGUCCUACCCAGUGAUACAAAAGAGUUUAAAAAAAAAGAAGGUAUCGACCAACUGUUCUUGAAGUGCUUCCAGAUGGUCUCAGAUACAGAUUUAACUCUUAAAGAAUUCUGGAAGGAACAUUACAGCAUCCUUUCCUGUGUAGGGUUAAUUGAUAAAUCCUGGGCCAGUGUCUUUCUAAGGACACUGAGAUCUGCCUGGAAGAAAGUGUGGCCUACAAUUAUACACGAGAGAGACAUUGAAGGCUAUGUAGAGGGGCAUGGGCCUUUAUGUGACCCUAUGGUUGAUCACACAGUCACUGUAGCAGAGUCCACAGGCUUGCAGAUAGACUGGUGAUGUUCAGGACUGGUGGAGGAACACUCAGAGGAAUUUUCUACAGAGAAACUUCAAUGUCUGGCUGAGCAACAGAGAAUGGCAGCUGAGGAGCUUUCUGAAGAGGAAGGGGAGUAUCAACAAUCAGUAUAGCAACAUUCUUCUGAAAUAAAGGAAAUCCUGAAAAAAUGGACAGAACUACAAACAUAUGUAGAGAAGACCACCCAGACAGAGAAAAAGCCAAUCAUUCCAUUCAACUGCUUAAUGACAAUGUCAUGUCAUACUACAGAAUAGUGUUAAAGAAAAGACAAACAGACAAUCAGACCAGUUUUUAGUUCUGAAAAGGUUGAGACCUAGUGGCCUACAGACUCUCCCAAGGAGAGAAAGAACACCAGAGAGCCAGAUUCCUGAUGUUCUUAUUGGAAAGGGACUCUCCUUCCCAACAAUAACCACCUUCCAUUUUAUCCUCCCUUCCUGCAAGCCAAAGAUGUCUCCUUGAAUGGUGAGUACAGUAUGAGAUUUUUGUUUCUGGUAAAUUAGGCACAUUUUAUAACAUUUUGGUUAAUACAGUUGGAAAAUCAUUGGUGUCUCUGGUAAAUUAUGUACAUUAUACAACUCUUUAUUUUGAAAAAGUUAAAGGGUGCUUUGGGAAUUUGGAACGCGGUAUGGGUAUUUCCAUUAUUUAUUAUGGAAAAAAUAGUCUUGCUUACAACCAACUUGAGUUACAACCAGUCCUUGCAAAUGAAUUGAGUUCGUAAGUCAAGGGUCUACAAAAAGUGAAAAUUAUCAAACAAAUGACCAUUUUUAUUUUACCAGAAAUAAAUAAAUAGCUGCUAGACACAUUAUUAGUUUUUUUCUUAGAAUACUAAGUUUGCAUUCACUGAUGCAUUUUUUCCCUAGUAGUUGAAAAGACCAUUGAACUGCAGGAUUUCUAACUGACUCUGCUAAUAAUUAGAUCAGGGGCCUUCAAGUAAUGGAAACCUCUGUAAAAUGAAGUGAUACGAGUUAGAUUGUUUUGAAGUUUUCAACUAGUACAUAUUUUUAAGAUGUCUUUCUACUUAAUGGCUUAACUAGAAUGUAUGUUCAUGGUCUGAAAUGCCUAAGAUUUUAGACGACAGAAGUUUCAAAAUGAUUUUUCCAAACCACCAACCACAACGUUGAAUUAGCUGAAAAAUAAAACAGUUCAGCAUUAAAAAUAGUAGAGUACCCAAGUAAAAUAUUCAAUCAUACCUGCAAAUGACAUAGAAAAAUUUUAAUCAUGUGAUGUAAUUAGCAGAGUAUAUAUGGUAAAUUCUAAAAUAAAAUGCUUCUUUAGAAAAUUUUGUUUAACAGCAAAAUGUUGAAAUUGAUAACACUGCUGUAAAAUAUAUAAGAAUACAAAAUCUCUAUAUACCUAAACCUAAAGGAAAUUAUAAAUCAUUUCUUUUCAGUUUCUGUUAAUAAUAGACAAGGGUUAUAUAUUUAUUUUCAAAUAUUUUUUGUCACCUGAAAAAUCUAUAUUUUAGAUGGCAUAUCAAAAAGCUUUUGUCUCUUUUAGAAAUAGAAUUACAUGAGUCCCUCUUCAAGGAAGGAAAAUUUGGGGUUUUUUUUGUAUAUCCUUUUAUUAGUACAUUUUAGGUGUACAGUAUAAUAACAUUCAUCAUUGGAGAUAUGCACCUUUACAUACUCUCUUGGUUCUUAUUUUUCCCCCUUCCCCUGCCCUCCCUUCAACCCCUCCAUCCUUCCCUAUUUACAAAGACUUUGUUUCCUUUUUUUCAUUUUCUCAUAUUAAUUCCAUUCCCUUCUUUCAUUUCCCCUACCUCUCCCACUUCCCCUUCCCCUUUGCCCCUUCUCUUCCUAUUUCACAUUAUCUAUUAUGCCUUUUAGUCCUUAUUUACACUUUUAGUUUCUCACACUAGAGAAACUAUUUUAUACUUACACAUGUGUGUCCUAUUUAUUUCACUUGAGUAUUGCCUCAAUGUGCAUCCAUUCAGCAAUAAAUGUGUCUGUGAGGCCUGAGUGACUCCAUUUUAAAAUUUGGCCCCAUCUUAGAGUAAGGUGGCCUGGACAUAAAUUCUAGUUCCAAGAAAAACCACAAGAUGUACUUUGGCCACCUGCCUGUGAUAAUGUUCAGCAGUCCCCUAGCAACUAGCCUAGCAACAGCUAAUCAGUAGCUGUCUCAAUGUCCCAGAUGCUCUUCUCGAUGGCCUGCAACAGCUAAUCAGUAGUUACCCCAAUACCCCAGUAUCCCAGAUGUUCUUUUCCAUGACUUGAGCAGCCGUUUGCAGUUCAGCGCACAUGGCACAGCCAAUCAGGUUUAAACUUUCAAAACUUGCUAAAUGCUAGCCAAUCGUGUGAUUUGCGUGUGAUUUGAAACCCCACGCCUUUUUGAAAACCCCGCGCCUUGCUGUAACCUCUAUAAAAACCCCUGGUGUUAUAGAGUCGGGGCUCUCAAUCCUGACCCGCUGUGUCAGUGUCGGAUGAGAGUCCCUGCUCGAGCUUGAAUAAAUGACCCUCGUGUGUUUGCAUCAGAAUCGGCUCCUUGGUGGUCUUUGGGGACCUCACAAUCUGGGCACAACAGUCUCUAAUUUCUCAUUUUUGAUGGCUGAAUAGUACUCCAUUUUAUUAAAAAACCACAUUUUCUUGAUCCAGUCUCCAGUUAAUGGGCAUUUGUGCUGUUUCCAAGUUUUAGCUAUUACAAACUGUGCUGCUGUGAACAUGGGUGAACAUAUAUCACUGUGGUAUGAUUCUUUUAAUUCUUUGGACAAGAUACCCAGGAAGAGAAUAGCUGGGUCAAAUGGGACUUCCAGUCCUAGUUCUUUGAGUUAUCUCCAUACUGAUAUCCAUAGCGGUUGCACCAUUCUGUGCUCCCACCAGCAGUGAAGCAGGGUUCCUCUUUCCCUACAGCCCUGCCAGCAUUUGUUAUUGGUUGAUUUCUUGAUAGCAGCCAUUCUUUCUGGAGUGAGGUGGAAUCUCAGUGUUGUUUUCAUUUCCAUCUCUCAAAUGACCAGUGAUGUUGAACAUUUUUUCAUAUGUGUAUUUGCCAUUUCUUUUUUUGUGUGAGAAAUGUCUGUUCAUUUCAGAUGCCCAUUUUUGGAUUGGGUCUUUAAAUUUGGGAGGUCUGAUUUUUUUAACUUCCUUAUAGAUUUGAGAUAGUAGACCUUUGUCUGAGGGACCGCUGCUGAAAAUUUUCUCCCACAUUGUGGGUUGUCUCUUCACACUGCUGGUGGUUUCUCUUGCUUUGCAGAAGCUUUUUAGUAAGAAGAGAUCCCACUUGUUGAUUGUUUGUGCUAGUUCACAGGCAACUGAGGUUUUGUUCAUAAAGUCUUUUCCUACCCAAAUGUCUCGAAGAGUUCUACCUAACCUCUGUUCCAGCUGGUUCAGCAUUUCUAUUUUAAUAUUGAGAUCUUUAAUCCAUUUUGAUUUUAGUUUAGUGCAUGGUGAGAGAUAUAAGUCUAGUUUUAUCUUUGGCAAGUUGAAACCCAAUUUUUCCAGCACCAUUUAUCAAAGAGGCUAUCUUUCCACCAGUGAGGGUGUUUGGCUCCUUUAUCGAAGAUGAGAUGGCUGAGUGUGUCUGGCGUUGUUUCUGCAUCUUCUAAUCUGUUCCACUAGUCCUCAGGUCUGUUUCUUUGCCAGUACCAUGCUGUUUUUUUUUAAUCACAGUAGCUUUGUAGUAUAGUUUCAAGUUGGGAGUUGUGAUACCCCUGUGGCAGUAGUUGUUGAUGCCUGUCCAUUCUGUCAAGUCCUGAGUUGUGCUUGAUAGUCCCUGUGCAGGCUGACAGCUUCCACUUUUUACCUCAAGGGACAGUUAACUUUCACUUAGAGACAACUCAGUUUAAAGCACACACACGCAUCACUUAAAAAAUAAAAAUGUUGUCUUCUCAGAUCUCAGAUUCUAAGAAGUCUGGAAGUCAGAAAUUGACAAAAAGUACUUUGAUUUCAAGGAGUGAACUGGCGCUGAGCAUAUUGAAGGAUCUCUGGCUCAUUAAGAAGAGUAAUUUGUACUUGCAUUUCAGAUGAAGAGACUUCUGUUAUCAUGUAGUUGUAACACGAUGGGAUGGUGAUAUGUAACUACAGUUGUCUUCCCAACUGUGUCAACCCACAAUAUUAGCUUUUGGGCUUCUUGAGAUUUCUUUUUUGCAUGGCAAAUUACCCAUGAAAUACAUUGACCAAACAGGAUGUGAUGAAGGAAGAAAGGAACUCUUUGUGUGCAUUUUGGAUCUAAAAUGUGGCAGGGGUGAUGCAAUGAAGCUAUUUGGGAAAUGGCAAAUCAAGAGAAGACAGAAGAAUUUGUGGGAUUGGAAGGCCCUUUAUGAUUUGUCACAACCUGGGCAGGAAGCUCCUGGUUUCUGGAGCAAUAAAGAAAACAGUGCAGGCACACAGCUCUCACCAGAAAUGUGGAAACAUUCCAGGUUCUUAGUAGAGAUACAUCUCACACACAGAUUCAUACAAUCUAAAGUAAUAAAUAUUUUAAUGUUUAAUAAGAUAAACCUGAAAUGUGUACAACCAAUUCCUCAUGUGGGCUUGACAUUGCAACACAGAUUGAAGAGAAUACUCUGUGACUCCUUUAGCUCAUAGGAUAGAAAAAAUAUGGUUGGGGUUUCAGGUCCCAACUGGACUAUUUGGGGAAUAGAGAGAAACUAAUCUCUCUGAGAGAAGAAAGAUGAUAAAAAUCUUCAUCACAAAGUUAUUGUGAGGAUGACACGAGAUAAUGUAGGUCAAACUACAAAAUAUUUAGAGAUGAGUGAUUAGAAAUAGUUUGUUUGAACAUCUGAGAUGUUUCAAUGACUUUCCAGCCUCUAUAAUAUAAGCCUCAGUCACCAGAAGCCCUGAUUCUCCAAGCUUCGAGGCCCAGGUGCUAGUGCUGCCUGCAGGACCUGGAAGAGUCACCUUUUAUGAGACAGGACUGAGGGAAGCACUGGACCCAUCCACCUGCCCACAGCCUGCAGGCUUUUCAAAUUGUGGAGGCUGUGGGAGUAGAGCAAGCUUGGCCCUCACAGGGAGCAUCUUUUUUAACUGUGUGCUUACUGGAUGCUAAAGCCAGGCUGGAGGACAGUUUACUUAGGUCAGUGAAGGGGCGUGAUUUCCACUUAUCCCUGGAUGCAUGCAUUGAUAUAUUCUUUUUUUGGUACCAGGGGGUCAAACUCAGCACCUUGCACUUGCAAGGCAGGCUUUGGAACUACUGGCUUAAUCCCUGGCCCUGCAUGUAUCUAUAUAGCUACUCUUUUAUUUUGUUUAGAUUUAUUUAUAUAUUUAUUUAUUUAUUAAGUCAGGAUCUGGUUAUGUAGUCCAGGCUGGCCAUAAACUCACUAUGUAGCCCAGGCUGGCCUCAAAGUCUUGGGGAACCUCCUGCCUCUGCCUCCCAAGUGCUAGGAUUAUAGGUGUGCCCUACCACCAGGUAUACCCACUCUUUUAAGUUACUUUAAGUCACCUCAGGAUAAUGACUAUAAAUACAAAUCCCUUUCCAUGAGCUGCUUUUCAAUGAGAUAUUUUUGUCAUUUGUAUCAAGGUUUUCAACCCAGCAUGGUGAGGAGUUUGGCGUUGCUCCUUCUGACACAUUCCUCCCUCAUCCUUUUCUGAGCCAGGGAUUCUGAUUACUGCAGAUGUAUCAUGCAGGUCCUGCUCUCCACAGCUUUCACUGGGGCUUGGCCAAUGGACACAGCAGGAAAAGAGGACAAGAGAGAGCACCUAGGGUCUUGAUUCCACUAACUCCUUCCCUGCCCUCCAACAGUUUUAGCAGUAACCGUAUUCCUUGUCUUAGUCUGUUUUGUGCUACUCUGUCUUAAUGUCAGAACAGAUAAUUCACAAUGAACAAAAAUUUAUCACUCAUGGUUCUGGGAGGUGGGAAGUCUAAGGUCCAGGGGCUGGCAUCCCACAGCAGAAUAUAGAAGGACAAGACAGCAAGCAUUGAGGAACAAGGGAGGAGAAAGGCAGCCAAGUUUGCUUUUAUAACGAACCUACUCCCACAAUAAUGACACUAAUCAUGACCUGAUCACCUCAAGACAGAGAGAGAUAGAUAGCCAGGGAGAGGAAAGGGAGUGGAACUUACUUUUGAAUAACAAAACUACUCCCACAAUAAUGAUAUUGUCUUAGUCACUUUCUCAUUGCUGGGACAAAAUACCCAGCACCCACAUCUUAAAAGGAGGAUAGGGUUAUUUUGGCUCAUGGUUUUUAGACAAUUCAGUCCAUAGUCAACUGGCUGCAAUGCAUGGAGGUCAUGUUAGAAGGUUCUGGUGGAUGCAAGCUGCUCGCAUCACUGCAGCCAGAGAGCAGAGAGAGAAGGGAGGAGUCAGGGAGGGAGAUGGAUCCUUCCAGAUUGCAGUCCCAGUACCUACCCCCAAACAGACCCUGCCUGUACUUUUGAGUGAAGGACCCUUGUUAGCAAGACAGACUCCAUAUUGCUGCUUGACCCACCUGCCUACCCUUUAGAUGAACUCAGAAGGAGGAAGCUUAAAAACCUCCUCCCCUUAGAAAGUCUCUUUAGAAAUAACAAUCAACUAUUGUUUUACAAAUGUUCUAACAGCAGGACGUUCUGCUUCUGUACCUUUUGCUUGUUUUACUAGUUCUAUCCCAUAGAGGGCCGUAGAACCUGCUCUCCUCAAAGGUGUAUAAAACAUGUUUGUCAACCCCCAGUUGAGGCUUGAGUCCGAUGCUCGGCUCAGGUCCUGGCUGGUAAUAAACUCCUAUGUGGAUUUAAUAUUGGUCUCUGGUUGGUUCUCUCUCACUGGGUGCAACAUUGAGUGAGCAUACAAAUCUUUCACUUCAGGAAAUUUAUUCCUAAGUAUUGUAUUUUUUGGAUAUUGUUAUAGAUGAAGUUAGCUUUUUUAUUUUCUUUUCAGAUUGUUCGUUAUUAGUGUAUAGAAGCUCAAUUUAUUUUGUGUAUUGAUUUUGUAUCCUGCAAAUUUGCUGAUUUCAUUGAUUUGUUGGGACAGUUAUUUUGUGGGAUAUUUAGGGUUUUCUACAUAUAAAAUUAUAUCUUCAUUUUCCAAUUUGCUUGCAUUUUGUUUCUUUUUCUAAUUGCUCUUCUUUUAGCUUAAUUUCCCUGGAUAAAACUUCUAGCAGCAUGUUAAUAGCAGUGGUGAAAGUGGCCAUUCUUUUCUUAUUACUGACCUUAGGGGGAGGUUUUCAUUCUUUCCCAAUUGAUAAUAAUGUUCUCUGUGGGUUUUUCAUGUAUGGCUUUUGUUAUAUUGAGGGGGAUACACUUCUUUCUGAAUGGUCUGCAUGGAUGACCUUAUUAACUGUACAGAACCCUGUGAAACUGGCAUUAAAAUCCCUCUUUUGUCAGAUGAGAAAACUAAGACAUGAAGAACUAUGUUCUUCCCAUACAUUAAAUUUCUGUAGUUUUUGUUUUUACAUGUAGCAUGUCUUUAUUAAAACAAUGAUUCUUUUUUUUUUUGGUACUGGGGAACGAACUCGGGACCUUGUGCUUUCGAGGCAUGCGCUGGAACCACUGAGCUAAAUCCCCAGCCCAAAACAAUGAUUUAUUAAGUUAUAUGCUCACUUCCCUGUACUCCACAGAAGGUUGCCUGUACUGCCCCAAAACACAACCUGAAUGGAAAUCUUUGUCUCAGGGUCUGGACCCAGGGGAACCAAACUAAGACCAAGCUGGGUGUAAUACCAGCACCCUGGGAGCUAGAGACAGAAUGGCAAGUUCAAGCUUAGCCUGAGUAACAGGCACUUGGCAAGACACCUCCAUUUUAAAAGCAAAAAAAUUAAAGGUCUAGAAAUGUAGCUCAGUGAAUAUUUUCUGGGUUUGAUCUUAAUAACAACAGCAGCCCAAGAUGUUUGGUGAAUGCUCAGCAUAGGCUAGGCACCAGGCCAGCAAUUUCACAGGUACA
rnacentral:lncRNA from 1 species